GAUGAUGGUGAUGAUAAGCUUGUGGCAAGCUUCCAGUCAUUAUUUUUUGUUUUUUGUGGUCUCUAAGAAAAAAAGUUUUGACAUUUUGGUUUGAGGAUUUUCUUGUGCUGUCAUGUGACAUCAUAGUUUUCCUCCUCCUCCUCCUCUUCUUGCUGACAUUAAAAGGUUCGCAGGGAGUCUUGCAACCUGCUAGAAAGAUCAGCUAAAUCUCCAUCAAAUGACAAUGUAUCAUAUUGAAAAAGGAAGGUAUCCGUUAGAUAACACUGGUCCUGGGUUUCCUGCAGAUAGGAAAAAGACAUGAUGGUCAUGGCAGGAGUGCCUUCAUUCAUAGGCCUGCUGAGUCAGAACAGUCCUGGGGCUAAACAGCAUCAGCUAAAAUAUAAUUCUGUUAAUGAUUAUUGCUGUUUCUUCGCCUCCUGACUUUAGCCAUCAUUGAUUGAACUUCACUCUCUUAUCCCAUGAGACCCCUAUUAAGGUUCUGAUGUAUAUUUGAUGGGAUUUAUUGAUCUACUGGAUCUGAUUGCAACAUUUGGGGCCAUUCCACCUAAUCGAAAUUGGAUCUGGGUUGAAAGAUUUUGUGUCAGAAAUUGAAAUGAGUUGUGUUUGAUAUGAUAGAUCAGUCCAUUUUAGAAGGGUAGGGGUGUAUAAGUGAGAGAUUAAUUAUUAAUGUUGGUGCAGGCGUGGCCGUGUGACUAAGAGGCUUGCUUCCCAACCAUAUGGUCUUUGGUUCCAUCCCACUGUGCAGCACUAUGGGCAAGUGUCUUCUGCUGUAGCCUCAAGCUGACCAAAGCCUUGUGAGUGAAUUUGGAAGACAGAAACUGAAAGAAGCUCGUCAUGUAUAUAUGCAUACAUAUAUAUCGGGCAUGGCUGUGUGGUUAGGGAGCUUGCUUCCUAGCUAUAUGGUUUCGGGUUCAGUCCCACUGCGUGGCACUUUGGGUAGGUGUCUUCUGCUAUAGCCCCAAGCCGACCGAAGCUUUGUGAUUGAAUUCGGCAGGCGGAAGUUACUGCCGUGUGUGUAUAUGUGUGUGUAGGUGCUUGUGCCUCUCCGAAAGAGAGAGGGAUAUAUAUAUAUGUUCUAUCAAUGAAGCAUAUUACUCUACCUUUGGUAUUUGAGUACUAUUUUUCCACCUUGUUUCACAUUUAUGUGCUUACUCUUGUGUAUAUAUAUAUAUAUAUAUAUAUGCGUGUGUGUGUGUAUAUAUUAUACACACACAUAUAUAUGUACAUGAGUUGUGUCUAAUAUGGAUAAGUCCAUCAUAAGUGGGGUGUGUUUGUAUUUGUCCCCCACUUCUGCUUGACAGCUUGUGUUGGUUUGCUUACGUGCGUGUGACUUAGCGAUUCAGCCAGAAUAGAUCAAUAGAAUAAGUAUCUGUCUUAAAAAACAGACACUGGGGUUGAUUUGUUAGACUAAACCUGUCAUAGUGGUACUCCAGUAUGGUCACAGUCCAAAGACUGAAACCAAUAAAAGUUUAAAAAGUGAGAUAAAACUAAUAUAAAUAAGACAAAAUCACCAUAAUUAGGGAUGUUUAAUUAACAUAACGAGGAAGACUUAAAUAAAGCAUGGAAAAUAGAAGUUAAUGGCGAGAUGUGAAAUAUGAAUGAAGAAAGUACCAGGUACUUUAUUUUUGUUGCUUAGAUAUGAAGAAAGUACAGGAAAUAAUAAUAAUAAUUUCUUUUAUUUGCCACAAGGGCAAAGGAUGAGGGGGACAAUACAAAGACAGUGUUGAGGUUUACGUAUAUUGUGUAUGAUGCUCAGGUGCACUACAACUCAUCAAAGGUACAUGCACAGUGCAUGUAUGAGUCAUGAUAUACAGGUGUGCAUGCAUAUGGAAGAGUAUAUCAGGUGUAGUGUUGGCACAUUUCAGGAAACAUGGAGGUUUUAAAGGAUGCAAUGUCUUGGCAACUAACAACUGAUGCAGGUAGUUUGUUCCAUGCUUCAGCAACUCUGAGUGUGAAAAAGUGUUUCUGAAAGUCAUGGGAGCUGUGCUGUUUUCUGACUUUGGAGGCAUGGCCACAUGUGUUAGACACAUGGAGCCCAAAAAGGUGCUCAAGGUGGUUGUUGGCGCAAUGGUUAAUAAUUUUGUGGGUGUUGACCAAGUUAGUUGCCAGACAUUGGAGCUUCAAUGUGUCCAUGCCCAGGGAAGUAUUCAAAGUAUGGUAGAUGCCUGAUGGAGGGUAUUCACUUAGUUGCAUGUUUUCUGAAUGGUUUCCAGGAAGUCAAUGUCCUGAGCAAGAUCAGGGUUCCAGACUGGUGAUGCAAAUUCCACUUUUGGCCACACCAUAGCCAUAUACAGCCUUAAAUAGAGAGCUGGAGAGUGGCUGACAAAGGUCUUGCUGAGUGAUGCCAAAACACCCUCGGCCUUUAUAAUUAAAUAAUUUUUCAAAAAGUAUGCAUUAACAGAAGGGAAGUGUCCAUAAUAAUGAUAAAGGGAGAUUAAGGCAGAAUUAUUACUGCAUCUGGCAAAAUACCCCGUGGUAUUCUGUAUGUGUAGGUUGUGAGUUCAAUUUCUGUUGAGGUCGAAUUUACCUUUUGUUGUUUCAGGGUUAUUAAAUAUCAGCUGAACUCUGGGGGGGGGGGGGAAUGUAAUUGAUUCAAACCUUCUUUUGAAAUCACUGGCCUUGUGCCAUUUGAACCCAAUAAUAAAACGGGAUUAGCAACAUGAAGGAGGUGAUGGCAACCACUGUAGCACCCUGCUUUCCUGAAUACCAUUGAUAAGAAAGGAAGGGAACAGUAAGAAAAGACAUUCUAAAAACCUUCUGAAGCUCCCUAACACCGAUUGGAUCUCAUUAUUGUGUUUCUUUGGUCCCAUGUCAUUUUUUGUUAAGCAGACAUAUGAACAUUUAUUUCUAAUCCAACUAUGGCCAUCCCUUUUUUUUUUUCCCAUGUUCAAAUCCUACAAAGGUCAGCUUUGCCAUUCAUCCCUUCAAGGUCAAGCACUGUUUCUUCCUGAGUUGCAUAGACUCAGAAGGCCAGUUUCUGUGGUAUAUGUAUUCACCCCCUGGAUGGGGUGUCCUUUGGUCACAGGAUUGCUCAUUUUCGCAAGCUGGGUGGACCAGAGCAAUGUGAAAUGAAUUGCUUUGCUCAAGGACAUGACACACUGCCUGAUCCAGGAAUUGAAACCAGGAUCUUACGAUCAUGAGUCCAAUGGCCUAACCACUGAACCAGGUGCCUUCACUGAGUCGUGUACUGGGGAAAGAUGUAAUCAAUUUGUCUCCUUCUCUGAAAUUUCUCACCUUCAACCCUGUAGCAGACCCGCCCUUCAGAAGAAUGUCAUGUGCUUGGUUACUUAAAUGCCAUGGCAACCAGAGGACUGACUUAGUAAGUCUUAGAACUCAAGAAAAAUAAUCAAAUAGAAAAUAACUUGAAGGAAAUUUGACUGCUAUUUCUACCAAGUUGAGCCACCACGUAGAAGCUCACAAGAAAAACUUGAUUUCCAUAUGGCUAAGAUCCCUUAAUAAAUGAAAGGCCUCCUUAGUUGGGUCCUCUAUCUAAACCCCAGAUAAACAGAAGUCUAUUCUGAUACAAAAUAUCAUUAUUUGAAGAAUUAUUAUUUAUCGCAUCUCUCUUUUUAUUUUUGUUAUUUUUGUGAUAAUUUAUGUAAAAUAUUUACUUUGUUGGGUCUAAUCUGAUUAAUCCAGAUCAGAAUCCAAGAGAAUUUGACUAAUAAAUGGCAUCUGGUUGAA
rnacentral:lncRNA from 1 species